GGAUUAUGAGGCAUUGUGAGUGGGCCUACGCAGUUUACUGGACUCAGGAAAGUCCCCGGGCGAUGGCUGCAGAGAUGCAGGCUCGGUCACGAGUAUUUACGAGCUGGGACUUGUUUCGUUCGCUAGAGCGAGUGGCUGAGACCCGUGUGGAGCCAUUGCAAGUCCUGUGACGUAUAAAUUGGCCGAUAUCACAGUCAUUCUCAAGGUCCUAUUGACUAACAUAACGGGGCUUAUGCCCUCGUGAUC
rfam:Cajanus cajan chromosome 3, whole genome shotgun sequence.